rnacentral:lncRNA from 1 species
UAUGUUUUUUUCAGGAAUGGUAAGUGGCCCUAUUGGUCAGAAUUCUUCUCUUGUCCAGGUGCAAAGACUGAGCAGGGAGAGAGAGAAAAAGGAAUAGGUUCAUGCUGGAGGAGUAGUUUGGGGCUCAUCUCCCAUGGACUGAAUCCCAGCUGAAGCUACUGUUCAGGAUGUGGCAGGAGCCCCUACGUCUGGAGCAGGCAACAUCUGUGGCUGAAGGUAAAAUGAUACCACUCUCCAGUUGAUCCCAGGUUUGUUGCCAGCAUCCAAGAGCACUCACUGAGCUGUGUGUAUGUGGUAUCUGACACAAAAACGAGAACACUCAUUUCUCCAACUAUUCAUCCCUGUCUCCACAGAGUGUCGGAACUACUGUCUGUUUUCCUCGUCCCAUUAAACAGAACCAUGGGAAGUGGCGGCUUGUAAGGAAUGAUCUCAUGCCACAGAGAGCAAAGCACAGCCUUUUGUCCUAGAGACUUGCACACAAACAGCAAGCCAUCCAACUCUGCUUCACUCCAGGCAAAAGUCUAAUUCAACAAAUAUUUACCCAACCCUAUCUCAAAUCCAAGGACUAGACUGAGAGCUGGGAUUCAAAACAGAAACAGCAUAAACUCUAUUCUCAUGGAACUCAUAAUGUAAUAAGUAAUAGAGUCUCUCAAUGCAGCAUAUUAAUAAAAUACUGUAAGUUUAACAAUAGAAUUAAGCAAGGAGGCAGAGAGAAUGUGUAAAAGAGAAGCCUCAGGAAUCAGGACAAGGCUUGUUAGGGGAAUUGUCUCCGCAACUAAAUAUUUAAAGAUAGGUGGGAAGUAUUUUUAGUAUUAAUAACAUAAUUGAUAAUGAUAACUGCUCUCCACAGAUAUGUCAUGAGGUGUUUAUGCUAAAUAACACUAUCAAUACAAAUAUAACAACUGCUAUGAUACUAGGAGAAAUUAAUAAAACCAUAAUCAAGUUAGGAAACUAAGUCAAUUCUCUAACCUUAGACAGAUCAAAUAGACAAUCAUAAAUAUUAUUUUAGGGAAACAAUAAUGUAAUAAAUAAAGUUAAUUUGCUGGAUGUAUAUGUGUUGUAUGCCACAAUCUUUUAAAAAUGAUGGAAUAUUGAAGACAAAUAAAAUGUAAGAUUACAUUCUGAACACACACAGACACUUCAUUCAAUCUAAAAGCUGAAAUUAUAUUAAAACAAAACACAAAUUACAAUAUCUUUUUGAGUCUUUGUAAAUAUCAAUAAAACAAAUAAAAUUCUGAUAGCUGUAACUAAGGAGCAAAAAAUGAAAAAUACAUCAACAGGGGGAAUAUAAAGUGUGCCCCACUAUAGAUAUGAUUGACUAAUAUUUUAAGAAUUUUUAUAAAUAUGUUCAUUAGGAAUAUUUGCCUAUAG